rnacentral:rRNA from 1 species
GUGAACGCUGGCGGUAGGCCUAACACAUGCAAGUCGAACGGCAGCACAGUAGGAGCUUGCUCUUACGGGUGGCGAGUGGCGGACGGGUGAGGAAUACAUCGGAAUCUACUUUUUCGUGGGGGAUAACGUAGGGAAACUUACGCUAAUACCGCAUACGACCUACGGGUGAAAGCAGGGGAUCUUCGGACCUUGCGCGAUUGAAUGAGCCGAUGUCGGAUUAGCUAGUUGGCGGGGUAAAGGCCCACCAAGGCGACGAUCCGUAGCUGGUCUGAGAGGAUGAUCAGCCACACUGGAACUGAGACACGGUCCAGACUCCUACGGGAGGCAGCAGUGGGGAAUAUUGGACAAUGGGCGCAAGCCUGAUCCAGCCAUACCGCAUGGGUGAAGAAGGCCUUCGGGUUGUAAAGCCCUUUUGUUGGGAAAGAAAAGCAGCAGGUUAAUACCCCGCUGUUCUGACGGUACCCAAAGAAUAAGCACCGGCUAACUUCGUG